rnacentral:rRNA from 1 species
CACGUAGGGGGCGAGCGUUGUCCGGAUUUAUUGGGCGUAAAGAGCUCGUAGGCGGCUCAGUAAGUCGGGUGUGAAACUCCAGGCUCAACCUGGAGACGCCACCUGAUACUGCUGUGGCUAGAGUCCGGUAGGGGAGCAUGGAAUUCCUGGUGUAGCGGUGGAAUGCGCAGAUAUCAGGAGGAACACCGGUGGCGAAGGCGGGUCUCUGGGCAGUGAACUGACGCUGAGGAGCGAAAGCGUGGGGAGCGAACAGG